AAUCCUUAUCACCAGCUCUGGCCGUCAAAACCCCGCUGCCCUCUCCAUCUCGGCUCCUGGGCAUCAGCCCCCACGCCAGAAGCUAGGGCAUCGUCCCCUUGAUGUUUCCCAUGGCCGCCUCCAGCUCCUCCCAUGGCGCCUCUCCUGUAUUUCUCUGGCCGUUAGCUGCGGCGCUCGCCGUGGGCGCUGCCGUGCCCCUGUCUAGUUCUCCACGUCGUCGCUGAGCUCGCCCCUGCCUUAGUCCGGUCGCCUCUGUUCCCUCCUCUCUGUCCGUCUGGUGGCAAGUCACCGUCGACCCUGCCAUGGUGUUGGCUGCCGCAGCACCUGCGUCCUUGCUUCGCCGGUCCGCGUAGGUCUGACCAUGGAGCUCGCCCAACUCCCUAGCCACCUCUGCUCGCCCCUCUCUAUCUCAGUUCGAGCAGCAGCACGCCGGGGCAAACCUAUGUCCGCGACACUCACCAAGUGCUCGAUGAAAUACUGCAGCGAGCUCCACCUCGAUCUGUGCAGCCCCAACCCGUGACGUCACAAUACCCUUACCCUCUGUCGAUGUCGUGCAUCGCGAGCUCGACAAAAAUCUCAAGCCCGUGGACAGCACACGCGCGACCCGAGUUUGAUUCUGCCAGGUACGUUAAUUAAUCACGUAAGGCGGAGGACCAGAGCUGAGUCGACCACAAGAUGCUAUUAAGCAUGGGCUACACCGCAUGGUGAUGCUGAUGGACGACCCUGGAGAUGGAAAAUCUAAACAAGUGCCAAAACAAAAGGAUGGUCGUCAAGUGAUCGUCGGCUAACAAACACUAACGUAGUGUUUAUUCCAGGCAAGCCCCGGUGCAUGCAAUCCCUUCCUUGUGUUUUUAAAUGAUUUUUACACACUUUAAGUCUAGUGAAAUGUGCAUUAAGUUUAUAGGAGUUGCUUGGAAACCCUUUGAUGCAUUGGCUACCUUGAAAUCCAUUCCUUUUAUAGAUACUUAUGGUGAAGUAUCAAAUAUGAUUUACAAAAUUGCUUAGCCCUGCCUAGAGGAAAAUCUUGCAGAUAGAGUUUGUCCUUUGCACUAAUGCCUAACUCAGGUUUAUCCUAAGGAAGGAUGGCUCUACCUACAAGAAUAUUUUCACCAGGAUCAUUGGGAGAUCUAAUGCAAGGUUUCCUAUGAUGUUUUAAUCAUCCUAAGGAACACAAACAAUCCUAAGGAUGGAAGUACUUAAAUCGAGACUUGGGCUAGGAACAGGUGAUGUUCUACCCAGGUUGAUUAAGGAUUAUAGGGAAUGUAGGCUUGUUGAUCGAGGACCUUUUAACUGGCCACAUGCCUCGUCAUGGGUAAGCUUUGUCUCGGUCGGACCAAUACCAGAAAGGCCACCACACAAUGUGAGUGGAGAGAUGGCGAGAAUAGCGUGUACCCUCCGUGGCAAGAGGCUGGACGGUGGUGUAUUUGUGCUCUCGGUUGGCGUGAACCCGUUCUGGUCUUGAAAAACCUAGUGGCGUGUUGACAUAUGCAAGGGUUAAGUGCUACAUAUGUCGUGUGGUUGGAGAUCCCCAGCUGGGUAUUAAUCGAUUCGGAUCGCCGUUACUUCUCGGAUAUGAAGACUUGGUCACUGCCCUGCAAUCUAAGUCAUGGAUGGAAUCAUAAUGAGCAAAAAUCAUGUUGUAUUGAUUAAUGUGAUGAUGAAAUUAGACUAGAUACAAACAAGGUCUAUUAAUACUUAAUCUAGCAUUAAAAUGUUGAAAGUAAGGACUCAUUUUAGUAAGCUUUCUUCAAACUAUUAAUGUUGAUUCUUGCUAAAAGUCUUUCCUUCAUUCCCAAAUCCAGCAUAUCCUUGAGAGUCUUUUUCCUUAGUCGGAUAAGACUUGCGAAAGUACACUUCGUACUCAGGGUUUUCGAACUCAUGUUGUUGUAGGUACUAGAUUUGUGCUGUUGUUGAUGGUGCUAAGUGCCGGUGGGCUCGGCCUUCUUAUAGGUUCUAUACUUCUUAUUGAGGAUUGUCAUUGAGCUAGCAUAUAUUUCAAACUUAUAAAUAGUUUAUAACAUUUCAAAUUUUAUUUCUUUGAAUCACUUCUGUAAUCACUCCGAUAAAUAUAAUGUAAAUUUGUUGUAACUUGUAACUUUUGUAAUAAAGAAAUUCCGCUGCAAAAAUGUUGGUGUGUGAUUUUUGUUUACUUAAUCUUGCGAUCUUGGUUGUAAGUGGUUUAUCCGAGGUCCUUGGGACACUUGGACGGAUCCUGUUAAGUUAUCUGGUGCACAUGUAUAGCCGUCUGAGGUCUUUGAGACGAGGUCAGGUGCAUGUGGGCCCAAUAACUUGGGAGGUUCUGCCACAACAGACAUGCCUCCCUGUUUGAGAUAUAAGAAUUAUUUCUUUUUAAUCUUCAUAAGACCAGCAGGAAUAUGGUAAAUCUUUGAAUUGAGUGGAGAAUUCUGCCCAGGUGAUGGUGUUGGCAGCAGCAUGAGCAGUGCAAUAUGCAUCCCACCAAUCCGUAGCUGGGCCGGUGAGGCGACCUGAUGCAUAUAACACCUUCUCUCUAUCAGAGAACUAAGCCAUGUUGAGCAUCUUGGCCACAGACUUUAACCAGUCAUCAGUUUGUAGUGGAUCCGAGGGGUUAGAAAAUGUGGGUGGCUUGUGACUCAUAAACUCACGGUGCUUAUCCUUGGGUGGAGCUACUGGUGGUGGUGGAGGUGGUGGUGGUUGUUGUGCCUUUCUAGUUGUUCUUGCCUCAUCUCAUGACACAUUUCCAGCCAUUCCGAACACAUCUCCUUGUGUUCUUGCCUCAUCUGAGUUUGCAUUUCAUUCAUCGUGUUUGCCAUCUGCUGCAACAUCUGCAUCUUAGCGACAACCACUGGAUCUGUCCCAGCCGGUGGAGGAUUCGGAGGAUUCAUUUCUGGUUGUGGUUUUCUAACAAUCCUCUUGCUAUGGUGGUUAGUAGGUAGAUCGAUACCGCCUCCCUUCCUGGUAUUGACCAUCUGGGUUAGAAAUAUGUACGGUAAGAUAGUUUUGCAAGGGAAAUUAUUUAGUAGGCAAACACAUAGGCUAGUGGCUGGUCAUAAACUGAAGGAUCAUGGCGAGGCCUGAUCUGUUGUUUUUAUGUCUAAAUUGGGAUAACUAGGCUUAUAAGGUGAAUUUCUAAAGGUAAGAUAGAAGUUGUCAAGAUAAGAUAGAUAUGUGAUAUUUUAAUGGGGAUGAUCUAUGUUGUCUAGUUAUUCUAUAAAUAUUCUCCUUUAUGCCUAGAUGUAUAUGCAAAUGCAAUUGUGGACAUUACUCCACAACUCAUCACACUCAAUCAAAGAUCCAAAUCAGACAAGUAUCAUAAGAACAACCAUUCAAGUACGUACAUACCUAAAAAAUAGUUUUGUUUUUGUUCCUAAGAGUAGGUCGCCUAUUCCUAAAGGUCACUUUAGGCACAUGAUUUCAAUGUGUGAAAUCCACUUUUGUCUUUAGAAGUGAAAAGGUAAGAGUAAUCAGAGUAAAGCAGCAGUAGAUGAGAAUAGACUAAGAAAAGUUUAGAAAGAAUCAGAGUAGCAAAGGUAAGUAGGUAAGGGUUGUGUAGUUCUAUCUAGGUUUUGUCCUAUAGUCAACAUUCCUCUGAUACCACUUCUGUCACACUCGGGUUUUAGGGACCCGGGCGCGAACCAAUUGUCCUAAAAAAUAUGACUAACCAUAUGUUUUCAGCAUAAUUAUGAAUAGUUACAGGAAGCUUUGGCUUUAGAAUGGAAAACUUCUCUCAUGACAGAACAAAGGGAAGUAAAGAGUGGGCGACAGAGCUAGAAACCAAAGGACUUCGGCUGGACAUGUUGACGAAGCUCAAGUAUGAUAACGAUUGAAGAAGGAUAAAGACCAUACAGUCCUUAAUAAUUCUUUCUAAUAUUAUAGAUAGUUACCAGGGACAUAAAUAUACUUUUAUCCGGGCUGCGUCCCGUGCCUAUAAAUAGAUGAACAGUAACACCGUACUGUUCACGCUGGAUUGUAAUCACUCUCGCAUCACCCUCGUUCUCUCACCCUUUGGCAAGCUGAAGGUACCAAUGUAAUAUGAAUAUUGUUGAUGUUUAUUCAUGUUUAUGGAAUAUAAGAAUAAAUGGAUCAUUGAUACAUAACAAUUAUUAUCUCUUUUGUAUUUCUUCGUUUUCUUAUUUGCAUUCACGUUAAUAUGUUGAAAUGAUGAAGGUAUGUCCAUCAUAACCUUCGU